rnacentral:sRNA from 1 species
AUUACCAUGUUAUAAUCAAGUAUGGCAGGAAAGUUUAUUGACGGUGGCUAUCCUAGAAAGUGAGGUGGUGCGUAUGUGCGUACUUCCAAAAUCUUACGAAAGGAGAUGCCUUUUGUCUGCAUAUGAGACAAUUCAGACGAUCUUUGGCUUUGGUAUGUUUACCAUAGCUUUGAUUGGACUGGU